AGCAGCCGCGGUAAUUCCAGCUCCAAUAGCGUAUAUUAAAGUUGCUGCAGUUAAAAAGCUCGUAGUUGAAUUUCGGGACUAAUAUGUCGGUCGUGCCUCGGUACGUACUGGUUUAUUGGUUUCUCCUUUCUGAAGAACCAUGAUGUCAUUUAUUUGGUGUCGUGGGGAAUCAGGACUGUUACUUUGAAAAAAUUAGAGUGUUUAAAGCAGGCUCACGCUUGAAUACAUUAGCAUGGAAUAAUGAAAUAGGACGUUUGAUUCUAUUUUGUUGGUUUCUAGGAUCGACGUAAUGAUUAAUAGGGAUAGUUGGGGGCAUUAGUAUUCAAUUGUCAGAGGUGAAAUUCUUGGAUUUAUUGAAGGCUAACUACUGCGAAAGCAUUUGCCAAGGAUGUUUUCAUUAAUCAAGAACGAAAGUUAGGGGAUCGAAGACGAUCAGAUACCGUCGUAGUCUUAACCAUAAACUAUGCCGACUAGGGAUCGGAUGAUGUUAAUUUUUUAAUGACUCAUUCGGCGCCUUACG
rnacentral:misc_RNA from 1 species